rnacentral:sRNA from 25 species
UCGCCUAAGCUAGUAUUACCUUAGGCGACUUCUGUAACGUGUCACA